ACAUCCAGCGAACUUGGCAGNGAUGCCUUGGUGCCUUCGGGAACGCUGAGACAGGUGCUGCAUGGCUGUCGUCAGCUCGUGUUGUGAAAUGUUGGGUUAAGUCCCGNAACGAGCGCAACCCUUUAUCCUUUGUUGCCAGCGAUUCGGUCGGGAACUCAAAGGAGACUGCCGGUGAUAAACCGGAGGAAGGUGGGGAUGACGUCAAGUCAUCAUGGCCCUUACGAGUAGGGCUACACACGUGCUACAAUGGCGCAUACAAAGAGAAGCGACCUCGCGAGAGCAAGCGGAACCUCAUAAAGUGCGUCGUAGUCCGGAUCGGAGUCUGCAACUCGACUCCGUGAAGUCGGAAUCGCUAGUAAUCGUGGAUCAGAAUGCCACGGUGAAUACGUUCCCGGGCCUUGUACACACCGCCCGUCACACCAUGGGAGUGGGUUGCAAAAGAAGUAGGUAGCUUAACCUUCGGGAGGGCGCUUACCACUUUGUGAUUCAUGACUGGGGUGAAGUCGUAACAAGGUAAGCGUAGCGAG
rnacentral:rRNA from 1 species